GUGAUAAUGAGUGAAUUAUCAUGAGAUCUGAUGGUUUUAUAAGGGGCUCUUCUCCCUUCGUUCAACACUUCUCCUUCCUGCCGCCUUGUGAAGAAGACGCCUUGCUUCCCCUUGGCCUUACACCAUGAUUGCUGGGAGCUACCAGAGUAUUUGACCUUGGGCACAGCUGGGGUGGCCCCGAUGGCGCUGCUGUCUGCUGAUGGUCUCCACAGCUUCCCCAGCGAGGCCUUCCUGGAAGGAGUGCUGAGCAGCAAAGCUCUGUGGUCACCACUCAGGACAAAGGGGAACCAGCUGAACAGAGCCUUUCAUGUGACAACAAAAAACGACCUGGCUCAAACAUCACGACAGGCAUCUGUGGAGCCUGGGAAAUGACCUUUCUCAUGGGGAGAACACAGAACACACAAAGCUUUCUCUUAAAAGUCUACAAAAUUAUAAUCUGAUAACAACAGAACGUUUUGGUAUUUUGAGUAAUAGGUGUCACAUCGGAAUUGAUAUUUGCCAAAUUUGGCAUGAUAAUUGAAUGCUUUUUGCUUAUUUAUAUUUCAUAUUUUAGUUGUUUUCUAAUAACCAAAAACAUUUGUGUAUUUUUAAUAAUAGUAGAGGUAAAUGAAAUUUUACAUGUCAGUAAAAAAACUGAAAGAUGAUGCUUGUAAUUUCAAGUCGAUUAAAGAAAAUUAUUAAUAAAACAAUAAAAUACAAAUUAUACAUUUUAUAUUGUGAUACUUAAAGUAGAUGACCUGGUUUAUCCCUGAAGAGAAAGCAUGGAUGCAUAAACCAGACCAUAUUGUAAAUAUUUCAAAUUCAUUGGUAAACAUUGUUUUAAGAAGGUGAUUAGCAAAUAUUGUUUCAAGAAGGUGAUUAAGAAGGUGAUGCAAAAUUUGGAGUACUUUCUGUUUUGUAUUUUUCGUGACUAUUUGUGAGCACUUGGUGCUUAAGACACACUCAAAGAGGUACUGACAAUUUAUCAUAUUCU
rnacentral:lncRNA from 1 species